CUGAAAGUCACCUACAGACCCUCACUGCUCCCCAAGAACAGCGUGUAGCUGCAAGGAAGACGAAGGACUGGUGAGUGUCACCUCCACCUCCGCAAUUCCCGUACGGCUGAUGAGCGGCGGGAUGGCUCCGUGCCUUCCUCACUGAACUACUGAAGCCAAUAAUGAACAUAAAUACUUACAUAACAUAAAAAAAAACCAACUUGCAGGAUUUUAAAGCAACCACAGACAUCUUGCAGCUAAGACAAUGUUAGUUUUUAAUGAAAGUAAUUCUGUUGCUAUCCCAAGAGAUGUUAGAAUGAAAGAGCAAGAGGGAAGGAACAGAUUUGCUUUUUGUUAGAGGCAAGGCCUUUGAACAUUGUUAAUGUUCAGGGUUACAGGUUUUAAUGGCACUGUGCAGAAGAAGAAGGAAAACAUGAGUAAAGUUCAUUAAU